rnacentral:rRNA from 1 species
CCUACGGGGGGCUGCAGUGGGGAAUAUUGGACAAUGGGGGGAACCCUGAUCCAGCCAUGCCGCGUGUGUGAAGAAGGCCCUCGGGUUGGAAAGCACUUUCAGUGAGGAAGAACGCCUGGUGGUUAAUACCCAUCAGGAAAGACAUCACUCACAGAAGAAGCACCGGCUAACUCCGUGCCAGCAGCCGCGGUAAUACGGAGGGUGCGAGCGUUAAUCGGAAUUACUGGGCGUAAAGCGCGCGUAGGUGGCUUGAUAAGCCGGUUGUGAAAGCCCCGGGCUCAACCUGGGAACGGCAUCCGGAACUGUCAAGCUAGGGUGCAGGAGAGGAAGGUAGAAUUCCCGGUGUAGCGGUGAAAUGCGUAGAGAUCGGGAGGAAUACCAGUGGCGAAGGCGGCCUUCUGGACUGACACUGACACUGAGGUGCGAAAGCGUGGGUAGCAAACAGGAUUAGAUACCCGAGUAGUC